rnacentral:rRNA from 1 species
AUGGAGCAAUUGGAGAAGAGGAUCGAUGCUGCAGAACAACAAAUCAAAGAGCUGCGUGAAGAUCUUAAUCGGAGAUUUGAUCAGCUGGUUGAGAUGAUAAGAAAGGGUGUUCCCCCUGCUACCAAUGAAGGAGAUUCAUCUAAAGAAGAAGAAUAUGUUUAUCAAAGAAGAAGGAGAGGUAAUCUUGGAGCAAGACCGCCACAACAACGUGCUGUUCAACGUGCUUCAAUAAGGCCAAUUUAUGUUGAAACUUCUGAAGGUGAAGAAUAUGAUGAAGCCCUUGAAGAAGCUGAUCUCUAUGCAUAUCGAAGAGUACCCAACCCUACAUAUGCAAGGGAUACAUACAAGGUGAAAGCUGAGAUCCCAACUUUUAAUGGAAAUGUUGAUAUUGAAGGGUGCCCAGAUUAG